UCUUUCAGAGAUGUCAAAUACAUCCAAGUUGCAGACUCCAGAUUCAUGAACCUGUCCCGGGUUAAGUGAGCUGCCUUUUUCCGCCAUCGAAACGCCUCCCACCAAUAUUGAACGACAAGGAGACGCGCACGUUCAAGUUGAAUUUAAUUAUCUUCAGAAAAGAGAGAGACAUAAUUUCCUCGAAGUCGGCGUGAAGAAGUCUCCGCUAAAUGUCUUUUGAACAUAGAUACAAAUAGCCUCUUGAUCAAAGCUUCUACACCACAUAUCAACAAGACAGGAUCCAUGCCUUCUCAUCAAUGGCAGUACGACGUCUUCGUGAGUUUCAGAGGCAAGGACGUUAGGAAGAACUUCAUAUCACACCUCUUCCCCAAGCUGACCGAAGCGGGGAUUAACUACUACAGUGACGAAGACAGAGAGGACGCUGGGGAGGAGAUCAAGGACAAGCUCUUCAGAGCGAUCGGGCAUGCGAGGUUCGCCCUCGUCGUGUUCUCUCCGAGCUAUGCUGACUCCAAGUGGUGCCUGAAUGAACUGGUAGAGAUCCUCGAGUGCAGAAGGCAGCUCAAGAACCAGGGCCACGUGGUUGUUCCCAUUUUUCAUGGCGUGGCCGCGGCUGAUGUUUCGAAUUUGACGAGCGGAACCAAGUUCUCGCAAGGUUUCGAGAGGUUGUGUAUGAUCCAGAAAGAUGUUAAGCAGAUGAACACAUGGAAAAAUGCUCUAAUAGAGGCUAAGAAAAUUUUCGGCUUGGAUUUGCAGAACGACGCCAAUGGCAAUGAGGCGAAGCUCAUAGAACACAUUGUCAAGUACCUUGCCGAGAAGAUACGUCCAACACGGCCUCUCUACCCGACGAAAAAAGCAAUUGGAGUAGCUCAUUUAGCAGAAGAUGUGAUUGCCUUGCUAGGAAAUGGUGGAGAGGAAGAUGUGCGCAUGAUAGGCAUAUGUGGUACGGAAGGAAUAGGGAAGACAACAGUGGCUGCGGUUGCUUGUGAUAAGAUUCUUGCUGAAUUCGAGUGUUUUGUCUUUCUCGAAAAUAUUGGAGAAGUGAAUCGAGACCUUCUCGGCCUGCAGAAGAAGUUACUCCAAAAUCUCAUGAAGGUAAAAGGAUUGAAGUUGUAUGAUGACAUUCACACCAACAUCAAUGAGAUAAAAAGUAACAUAUGUCGUAAAAAGAUACUUCUUCUCCUUGAUGGUGUUACUGGGAAAAAACAAAUGGACUAUUUCGGCGCUGGAGAGCGAAAAUCGUUUCACCCGGGGAGUAGAAUCUUGAUCACAGCAAGAGAUCCAAAUUUGCUGAAAGUUCUCAAGGUCGAUGACAAGUACAUUGUCAAAGGAUUGAGUCCAGACAAAGCACUUCAACUCUUCUGUCAUCAUGCCUUCGAUAGAGAAGAACCUAAACAAGGUUAUGAAGAGCUGUCUGAAAGUCUAAUUCAUUAUGCAGGGGGUCAUCCAUUGACCCUUAAAAGAUUAGGUUCCUACCUUAGUGAUGUGUCUAAAGAUCAUUGGCAUAAACUAUUGGACAAGUUGGGGAGAAGCCCUUAUCUUGAUUGCAUCGAUGGAGUUUGUAGUUCACCCACCCUCCCAUUGCAAUCCGUUGGGCCGUAUGGAGGUCAAGGUGGUGGUGCUUAUGAUGAUGGAACAUACACAGGCAUAAGGCAAAUCAGUGUCCUCAUUAUGUCGGUUAUUGAUUCCAUCACCAUCGAUUAUGAUCAAGAGGGCUGUUUGGUACGUUCUUUCAAGCACGGCAGACAUCCUGAUGGUAACAUUUUUACGGUCAAAUUAGAUUAUCCAAAUGAAUACCUGACUUCGAUCUCAGGCCAUAUAAGAGACUACCAAAUUCCUAUUGUUAUUCAAUCUCUCAAAUUCCAUACCAACAGAAAGACAUACGGACCAUUUGGCUUUGAAAGAGGGCAAUUUUUUCAUUUUCCAAAAGUUGAUGGCGGAAGAAUUAUUGGGUUUCAUGGAAAAUGUGGCAGUCAUCUUGAUUCAAUUGGAGCCCACUUUGGGCCAAUUUCUCAUGCAUAUCCUUUUGAAGCUUUUGGACCAUUUGGGGUGAUAAAGGUGAGGACAUUUGGGAUGAUGGGAGAUAUACAGAUGUGAGAGAAAUCGUUGUAGGAUUCGAUUCAACAAUCAAUUUUAUCUCUGUUCUAUACGACAAGUAUGGAUGUCCAGUUGGUCCCUUCACGCAUGGCGCAAAAAGAGGAAGCAAAACAUACAGGAUUAAGCUUGACCAUCCAAGUGAGUACUUGGCUUCCAUCUCAGGCUACAUUGGAGAAGUUUCUAAAAACACUAUUCUUCAAUCAUUAACAAUCGAGACUAAUCUGAAGUGUUAUAUGCCAUUUGGAACCGCAAAAGGAAGGUCUUUGGGCCUUUUGGAGGUGCAGGUGGAGAUUCCUGGGAUGAUGGACAAUAUGUCCAUAUAAGCAGAAUCGCCGUUCGGUAUGGAAC